GAUGAACGCUAGCGGCAGGCUUAACACAUGCAAGCCGAGGGGCAGCACGGUAGCAAUACUGGUGGCGACCGGCGCACGGGUGAGUAACGCGUAUGCAAUCUGCCUUUAACUGGGGCAUAGCUCCGAGAAAUCGGGAUUAAUACCCCAUAAUAUUUCGGGAAGGCAUCUUCCUGAUCUUAAAGCUCCGGCGGUUAAAGAUGAGCAUGCGUACCAUUAGCUAGUUGGUAGGGUAACGGCCUACCAAGGCUACGAUGGUUAGGGGGUCUGAGAGGAUGAUCCCCCACACUGGAACUGAGACACGGACCAGACUCCUACGGGAGGCAGCAGUGAGGAAUAUUGGUCAAUGGGUGCAAGCCUGAACCAGCCAUGCCGCGUGAAGGAUUAAGGCCCUAUGGGUUGUAAACUUCUUUUGUACGGGAAUAAAGUGCGGGACGUGUCCCGUUUUGUAUGUACCCGAAGAAUAAGGAUCGGCUAACUCCGUGCCAGCCGCCGCAGAAACAC
rnacentral:rRNA from 1 species